CCUACGGGUGGCUGCAGUGGGGAAUAUUGCACAAUGGGCGCAAGCCUGAUGCAGCCAUGCCGCGUGUGUGAAGAAGGCCUUCGGGUUGUAAAGCACUUUCAGCGGGGAGGAAGGCGGUGAGGUUAAUAACCUCAUCGAUUGACGUUACCCGCAGAAGAAGCACCGGCUAACUCCGUGCCAGCAGCCGCGGUAAUACGGAGGGUGCAAGCGUUAAUCGGAAUUACUGGGCGUAAAGCGCACGCAGGCGGUCUGUCAAGUCGGAUGUGAAAUCCCCGGGCUCAACCUGGGAACUGCAUUCGAAACUGGCAGGCUAGAGUCUUGUAGAGGGGGGUAGAAUUCCAGGUGUAGCGGUGAAAUGCGUAGAGAUCUGGAGGAAAACCGGUGGCGAAGGCGGCCCCCUGGACAAAGACUGACGCUCAGGUGCGAAAGCGUGGGGAGCAAACAGGAUUAGAUACCCUAGUAGUC
rnacentral:rRNA from 1 species